AGAGUUUGAUCCUGGCUCAGGAUGAACGCUGGCGGCGUGCUUAACACAUGCAAGUCGAACGAACCUUCGGGUUAGUGGCGGACGGGUGAGUAACGCGUGGGAAUCUGCCCUCAGGAGGGGGGCCACGGUUGGAAACGGCCGCUAAUACCCCAUAUGCCGAGAGGUGAAAUGAAUUUCGCCUGAGGAUGAGCCCGCGUCUGAUUAGCUAGUUGGUGAGGUAAUGGCUCACCAAGGCAUCGAUCAGUAGCUGGUCUGAGAGGAUGAUCAGCCACACUGGGACUGAGACACGGCCCAGACUCCUACGGGAGGCAGCAGUGGGGAAUUUUCCGCAAUGGGCGCAAGCCUGACGGAGCAACGCCGCGUGAGGGAUGAAGGCCUCUGGGCUGUAAACCUCUUUUAUCAAGGAAGAAGAUCUGACGGUACUUGAUGAAUAAGCCACGGCUAAUUCCGUGCCAGCAGCCGCGGUAAUACGGGAGUGGCAAGCGUUAUCCGGAAUUAUUGGGCGUAAAGCGUCCGCAGGCGGCCCUACAAGUCUGCUGUUAAAGCGUGGAGCUUAACUCCAUCAAGGCAGUGGAAACUGAUUGGCUUGAGUGUGGUAGGGGCAGAGGGAAUUCCCGGUGUAGCGGUGAAAUGCGUAGAUAUCGGGAAGAACACCAGUGGCGAAGGCGCUCUGCUGGGCCAUAACUGACGCUCAUGGACGAAAGCCAGGGGAGCGAAAGGGAUUAGAUACCCCUGUAGUCCUGGCCGUAAACGAUGAACACUAGGUGUCGGGGGAAUCGACCCCCUCGGUGUCGUAGCCAACGCGUUAAGUGUUCCGCCUGGGGAGUACGCACGCAAGUGUGAAAACUCAAAGGAAUUGACGG
rnacentral:rRNA from 1 species